AAGUCGUAACAAGGUUUCCGUAGGUGAACCUGCGGAAGGAUCAUUACAAUACGUUUACACGUAUCCAACCCCAAUAGUUGCACAGUGAGCAUGAGUCCGUUAGGUGUGGUUAUGGCCUUUUCAAGGCGGAAACGUUGAAAUUUCAAACCAAAACCGUAUUGUGCCUUCGGGCGCGAGAGGUUUCAGUUUGAGAUGGAUCAAAGUGCCUUGAAAUAGCUUAUCGCGUCGCUCAUUCGUGAGUGAUAUGAUAGACCUAUCCUAGCACGCGUACUCUUUCCUAAACUUUGAACCAUCGUUUGUUUUCCAUUUCAUUAACCCUUAUCACCUUAACAUUCAACAAUGAACUUAACGCGAUCUUUUGCUUCGAAAGGAGCAAUCUUAUGAUCGACAAGAUACGAAACUUAAGAACAACUCUUAACAACGGAUAUCUUGGCUCUCGUACCGAUGAAAAACGCAGC
rnacentral:misc_RNA from 1 species